CCCACGGAUUCAUCGUUUGUGGUUCUGAUUUGUGCAUCAGAGAUCCGGAUCUACUUUUUUUUUUGUAUUUAAGUGGCAACUGGAUUGGUCUAUGGCCUUUUAGAAAUACCUCAUGAGGAGUGGAUGCAUAUGAGACGGUACCAAUCCUCAGAGUCUAUGAAUGAAACUCUCCAUUCAUAAACUCUGCCAAUCCUAUCUCCGGAAGCGAUUUGAUGUCUAUGAGAUACCUGAUUCAAAGAUUUCCAAAAACUGUCGACCUUAUAAAGCGACAUUUCUGUUCAAUCUUGAAAUUCACGAUUUCCUCCUCAAAAACAAGCAGGUGGAGCACAAGCUUUGCCUGGUGCUUCUUAAUGGUUUUUCAUUGAGGGUAGUUAUCAACAUUGUGCGUGAAAGCCGUAGCUCAACUAAAUCCUCUCUGAAAUGGAUGGUGUCCUGGAAAGGCAAAAACGGCCAACGAUGGAUAACGCUCCAGAUGUCGGAUGAAGAAAUGCGUUGGACAUCUUCCGGGGAUCUUUGUUUGGAGUGUCCAUUGGCAUGGUAACACUCAUUUGGAUGUGAAUACAUAGAAAUAAAUAAUUUCAUAAAUAUGAAGCUUGAAAGUUGAAAACGAAUAAUGUGCCAUUAUGAAAAAAAAAACAAUAAAAACAGGAAAAAUUUGAGCUUA
rnacentral:lncRNA from 11 species